rnacentral:lncRNA from 1 species
AGAGAGUUAGAGAUAUGAUAUAUACAAUUUUCAUCUGCACAACUCGCGUUGGUGGGGCUGCUGAGCUGCCUAACGCCGAUGCCCGAGAAGGAGUACCGUGCUUCUCGCUCUUCUACUUAUUGGAGGAAACCCCAAAAUCAAACCAACGCACGUCUAUAACUCAAACGUUCCCACAGACGGCGCCAUUUGAUGAGGCCCAUUUGGACCCCUCAAGUAUUUUUGUAUAUUUGUGUAUAUUUGUAUGUAUAUCUAUGCUUGUGUGUGUAGGAGGUGUGGGUG